CCUACGGGAGGCUGCAGUAGGGAAUAUUGCUCAAUGGGGGAAACCCUGAAGCAGCAACGCCGCGUGGAGGAUGAAGGUUUUAGGAUUGUAAACUCCUUUUGUUAGAGAAGAUUAUGACGGUAUCUAACGAAUAAGCACCGGCUAACUCCGUGCCAGCAGCCGCGGUAAUACGGAGGGUGCAAGCGUUACUCGGAAUCACUGGGCGUAAAGAGUGCGUAGGCGGGGUAAUAAGUCAGAUGUGAAGUCCUGUGGCUUAACUACAGAACUGCAUUUGAAACUGUUACUCUGGAGUGUGGGAGAGGUAGGUGGAAUACUUGGUGUAGGGGUAAAAUCCGUAGAGAUCAAGAGGAAUACUCAUUGCGAAGGCGACCUGCUGGAACAUUACUGACGCUGAUGCACGAAAGCGUGGGGAGCAAACAGGAUUAGAUACCCCAGUAGUC
rnacentral:rRNA from 1 species